rnacentral:rRNA from 1 species
CCUACGGGUGGCUGCAGUGGGGAAUAUUGGACAAUGGGCGAAAGCCUGAUCCAGCCAUGCCGCGUGUGUGAAGAAGGCCUUCGGGUUGUAAAGCACUUUCAGUGGGGAAGAAAGCCUUGGGGCUAAUACCCUCGAGGAAGGACAUCACCCACAGAAGAAGCACCGGCUAACUCCGUGCCAGCAGCCGCGGUAAUACGGAGGGUGCGAGCGUUAAUCGGAAUUACUGGGCGUAAAGCGCGCGUAGGCGGUCUGAUAAGCCGGUUGUGAAAGCCCCGGGCUCAACCUGGGAACGGCAUCCGGAACUGUCAGGCUAGAGUGCAGGAGAGGAAGGUAGAAUUCCCGGUGUAGCGGUGAAAGGCGUAGAGAUCGGGAGGAAUACCAGUGGCGAAGGCGGCCUUCUGGACUGACACUGACGCUGAGGUGCGAAAGCGUGGGUAGCAAACAGGAUUAGAUACCCGAGUAGUC